CCGAGCCGCCGCCCGAGGUCGCACACGCAGGGUGAGCCAGGGAGCAAGGGGCCAGGUCUGCCCCUUUCGAACAGAGGGCUCCUGUUAGUAGCCUCCAGGUCUCCCGGCGCAGGACCCACUCUCAGCUCCUCGGGCUACUCACCAGCUCACCCUGUGCGCCCUUCAGGACAAUGCCCGGGAGUCGGAUGGGGCGGGGCCCACCAGGCCCUUCUCCCCUUGGGACUGAGUCCUGCCACCAGCAGCCCAGAGGCAGGAGCAUGGCAGCCCCAAAUCAAGCUCACGGUGUUCUCUCCAGAUGCAGGACGAAGCCAUUUCAGGAAGGCCCUGGUGGUGGAGAACAGAGAACAAACACAGGGGUCCUCGGGAGGGAAUGCGCACUGUCCAGCACACCUGUGCGUGGCCUUGCCACCGGUAAGGACGUGAAGACCAACACGGCAGGGACAACUCAUGUGCGCUUCUAGCAGGACAAAGGUGCUGGCAUCGGCCACAGCGAAUGCCAGCCCCGAAUACGCGCCCCACGGUGUGGCCCCCGCACGACCCAGCAGCGCCUCCCGGGAGCAGCGCACAGGCCGCUCUCACACCCAGCCCCAGUCCACAGUAGGCUUAGUGUGUAUGAGCCUACAGUGAUCCUGGCCCCAGGCCCUCCUGCUGGGAACCCCUACACCUUUCUCAGCCUCGGCAAUGUUUCCUCAAACAGUUCUCAGGAGCUAAGGAUGUGCAGUUUGUCUUGGAACCUGGGGCCCCGGUGUCCUCAAGGUGGGCUCGACGGCUCGCUGGAGGCCAAUGAGGGCCUGCGGGCCCAGAGGUUCCCUGACGGGUGUGGGAAACAGCGCGGGCCCUGAGCUGAGCCCAACGCUGGCGGUUUGCAGGAUGAGUCCAGAGUGCAGAGUGGCACUGAGGGCUCUGCUGACAUCUCAGGCCAGCCCCUGCCUCUGCGGGUGGCCCCGGAGCUCCCGGCAACUGAUGGGCUAGAAUGCCAUUUCAAGAUGCCCAUUGACCCGCCCUGCCCCAAGGCCCCUGGCCCUCCGGCCAGCUGCUGAACCUUUGAGGACAGGGAGUGGGCUUCCCAGGAGGCCCGCGCACGCACGUGGGGGGCAGGGGCGCUGUCCGCGGGCUGGCGCGGGAGCGCGCGGCGGG